rnacentral:lncRNA from 1 species
UGGUGAUAAUUUUUGUCCACUAAAAUUACGCCAUGGAAUGCAGGAGAUGGAGCUGGGAUGGACUUAUCUUUACGUGCCCAACCGAGAAGAGCUACAACGAUGAACAACAUCUGGCCGAGGUAGAACAAUGUGAUCAAAUCUGCUUAAAUGUGAAAACAACCAAAUAUCUAAUUAGAGGACACAAAUAGCCUCACUCAAUUGAUCCAUUUACCAGUAAACCCUAGCUUAGACAUAACAAAGCAGAAGAAAUCCCAAUUAACACUAUCAUAUGCCUUAUUAAUAUUAACUUUAUAGCAAGCUCACCCACUUUCCAAUGCCAUUUGUUCUUCAAAUAGUUAGUGAUCUCAAAAUCUGCUAUCAGUGAUAAGUCGUCCAGGAACAAAGGCUGAUUGCAAAGAUGAAAUAAUCUUAGGC